GUAAUUAUGUAUCGUUCGUGGAAAAGACACAGUAACCAACAAAGUUCAUUUCUGAUUUCUUUGCGUUUUAUUUCUGCUUAUUAACACAACACAACGUUUCCAAAAUGUUUGUCAAAUACAAGAUACAUGCGAAGCCCGCAAUGGGCCCAUCCUGCGAAAGCCAGCAAUAAUGCGACUUGUAUGUUCGGCCGUUUAAGUAAGACUGCACUUCAUACAACGCAGAUGCCAAUUUAUACAAUAAUGGACAAAUAAUUUGGGUGACGGCUGUCUGGAUGAUUGACUUUAACAUGAGUUGAAUUACCUGAUACGGGAUGGCUUUAUGUGUGACUUACAUAUCUUGUGCAUAUAUAUGCCAAUAAUUAAGCGAGACCACGUUUGUUUAACUGUCACCUGUCAUUUAACAUGAAAAUAUACACAAAUUAACAGUGCUGCAUGUGUUUACAAUAGACAUAACAAAUUAGUGAACCCAGCCAUGGGCCAUAACUUGGUGCAUUUUUUUCGUCUUAUUUGACGACGACAUAUGAUGCCCAUUUAUGCAUUUCUUCAUGAAGACAGAUAUUAUGUAUUCAGUUACACCGAACAAGGAAUAUACAUGAAAUACACCAAUUAUGCGACAUGAAAUACAUCAAUUAUGCGACAGUCUAAAACAUUGCUAUAUUCUCUCACAGUAUCGGACUUAGGCGGUAUGUGUAACAUUGUGAUUUUUAAUUUCACAAACCAUUUGCCUGAUGUGGAAAUAUAGAUCUAUUAAUUGUCGAAAUAUGCAAUAUGAUAUAAACUCGGGUUUAUUUAAGAAUUUUAAUAAUUGCUUGGAUAAAACUAUUAAUAUAUGUAUGAUGAAGUCAUUGUUUACACGACGCCACAGCUUGCGGUUUAGGGUUUCUCAACCUCCACGCAGAGAUUUGACUGGAACCAUCAUAGCUGGUUCAAACCCUUGCCUUCAUAACCGACCACGUGAUGAAAGCCUAGCCACGUGGUACAAUAGUUUUACCGUUGUUAUAUUUACUUUUUUUAAUUAAGGCAAUUUUUUUUAUUAACCUAAACUUAAACACUAUUUUCAAAAUAUAAAUGAAAAUAAUAUAAUUUUUCAUAGUAUAAUAUUAAAAAAAAUCCUACCGAAUCUGGUAGGAUUUUCUUGUUAUGUCAGAGAUGGCAUGUUAGAGCAAGGAACGACAACUCUGCGUGGAGAUUGAGUGUUUCUAUUCCUCUUUGAAUAUACGUAUCUUUAUUCAAUUUUAAAGGGAACUUUUUGCAGUUUGGCAAAUUAACAAAAUUAAAAAAAAAUUGUUUCAGAUUCGCAAAUUUUCGGUUUACUUAUGAUAUUUGUGAGGAAACAGUAUUACUGAACAUUUGCCAUGGUCUAAUAUAGCCAUUUUAUGCAUCUUUUGACGAUUUAAAAACCUAAAAAUUAUAAAGCGCGAAACGAUUGAAUAAUUUGUUGUUGUCGUUUAAAUUUGUGAAACUACGAAUAUUGCUUAUAUAACGUAUAAAAUACGCAUGUAAUGUAUGCUUGGCAGGAUAGGUAAGUUUGCUAAUACGUUUUUACUUCAGGAAUUCGGGGGUCACUGGUUCGAGCCCUGCUGCGUGCUACUUUUUUGUUUAAUCCUUUUUUAAUUUUUAUUUUUGAUUUUUUACUGGAGCUUUUAAAAUUUCAUGUUUACAUUUAUCAAUAUAAAGUAUUUGAUUACAAACUUCAAAACAUGCCAAAAUCUGUGAAAAGGCCCCUUUAACACUACACACAUUUGAUCAAAAUGAGUAUCGUAUUUUUACAUAUAAUUAUUAGUCGCCCGCAUGGUCCAUUUUGCCCCGCAUUAAUUUUUAAAGCAUAGUUUUUAUUUCUAUUCGUUUCAUUUUGGUAAACCCUACAUAUUUUACGACACAUACUGUUUAUUGUUCUUUAAACUGUUAUUAAUGCAAAAUGACACCAUCUAAUAAGCUGUAUGCGCUUGGUAGAUGAUCAUUACACAAUGACUUUUGUUAUUUUGCACCUUACGCUCACCUCUAAUAUCGCAAAUUAAAUACCACUGUACUUGUAUUGCGCUCGAUCGCUCACAAGUUUCGGAAGACUAUUCCGUCGAUCAAUUGCUCAAUGUAUUGUUACUAAACCCAAUGCGUUCUAUGUUUCUAGCAAAAGUGUGAUAUUUUUAUUUUUUUAAUUACACUUUCUUCGGAUUGUUUUCGUCAAAUUAAGUUUAAUCAAAAUGUUGUUUAUGUGUAAAAAGAUAAUUGCGUCAAUAGAAAAUCACACUUUGUCAACAAAAAGUAACGCUACGAAGGUGGAUUUCUUCUUUUUUUGUAAUCAAAGGGUAAAACUAUGUCGUUUUAAUAUAAAAAAUUACGUCUAAGAUCUUCUUUAUGUUUAUUUCAAGUUCCACCAUGUUACUUGAGCGAUACUGCGUUUGCCGCGGGCAUUCUACCCUUGGAGCAAAGUACUGUAACACCGCAAAAUACUCAGUACCUGGUGUACGCCCAUAAUCCGGGCGGAUUCGAUUUCAAAAGUUCCGGAGCCGUGAACGCCGAGAACACGUGCGGCGACUCCAUGUCCACCGUCAGAGAGACGCUGAUUGUGAACAUCAUCAAUACGGCACCGUUGAUUACUAAUCCUUGGGGUUCCAGUGACGUCGCCGAGGACGUAAGCGGAACGUUGACGUUAAAGACGUUGGAUUUUGUUACUUUCGAUAAGUCUGAUGCCACCUGCUCAAUGACGAGCGCUGACGGAGGACCAUUCGCCGUCACUGAAUGGCUAGACGUUUUAUUCAGAGGGUAGAUUUACUAGACAGUCUACAAAAUUCUGAACUUAUUGAACGCUACCGUUUGGACAGACAGGGGAUUUUAUUUCUGAAUGACCUACUUACUCCUGUAAUUGCACCAACAAACAACAGAAACAAUAGUUUGAACAGUAUAAAAAAAAAUCUCAUUUCAUUACAAUAUUUUGCGACAUCUACCAUUCAACUAAAUGAUGGUGAUGUCCAUGAGGUUUCUCAACCCACAGUUUCACGGGUAAUUACACAGGUUACUGAUGCGUUGACAGAGCCUGAAAUUGUAAGACAAUUCAUAAAUCUACCAACUGCUGCGGGAGAAAUCCGCCAAAUAAAGGAGGAUUUCUACAAUAUUGCCAGAUUUCCGAAUGUAAUUGGGGUAAUAGAUGGUACACAUGUCCAAAUACAAGCCCCACAUGUGGAUGAACCGGCGUAUGUCAACCGGAUGGGAUAUCAUUCAAUAAACACUCAGAUCAUGUUUGAUGCCAAUUGUCUUAGUAGAGACAUUGUACCGCGAUAUACAUGCAUGCCAAAAUAUCAAGUUGCCAUCGUCAAUAUCGCAAAAGUUAUGACCAAGUUUAAAGUUGUGGGACAGAAUGACAGAUAGACAGGCAAAAAACAAUAUACCCCCGAUCAUUCAAUCCGGGGGUAUAAAAAAUCAAAUUAGAUACAGGGUGGUUGGUGAAUACGGGCCCUGGACUUUGAGACAAAGGCAACGUAUAAUCUUGACGUCACGUGCACUGACGACCUUCUUCAAACCACGGAUACUUACGUCGUCAAAGUCCAAAACGUCGGUCCAAAGAUAACGAGUUUGCCGACGGCGUCUACUCUGGACGAGUGGCAGACUGCGGAAAAGCUACUCACGACGUUGACGUUAGCGGAGGACGCGGCUGACUGCGUUUAAACGUCACCGACGUAUAACGAGUUUAACGUCAAAUACGAGCCCGCCACAAAAGUUUUAAAACAUAUGGGUGAUCUACUACGUCAGCGAGGCGGUUGCGGGGCGGUCGCUUAGCUACGACACGAACCCCUUUUACAACCUGCAUAUUGAGUACAGCGACGCCGCGGGGGUCUAGGGGCGGAGAGGAUUUUCACCGUCCAUAUUAACGAUAACAAAGUACCGACGAGCGACAACCUUAGCACUAAGCCGAACAACAUAUGCUUGAUUAAGGACGCCUUGCGAGA